GGUUAAAUGACUGAAAAGAGGUAAUAGACUGUAAAUCUAUUUAUGAGAUAUAUUUCUCUUUAACCA
rnacentral:tRNA from 1 species